ACUCCUACGGGAGGCAGCAAUUAGGAAUCUUGCACAAUGGGCGAAAGCCUGAUGCAGCGACGCCGCGUGACUGAUGAAGUCCUUCGGGAUGUAAAAGUCUUUUCUGGGGGAAGAAGGACGUGACGGUACCCCAGGAAUAAGCCCCGGCUAACUACGUGCCAGCAGCCGCGGUAAUACGUAGGGGGCGAGCGUUGUCCGAAUUUACUGGGCGUAAAGCGCGCGUAGGCGGGUUUUUAAGUUGGUGGUGAAAUCCCGAGGCUCAACCUCGGAACUGCCUCCAAAACUGGGAACCUUGAGGUAUGGAGAGGGAAGUGGAAUUCCAGGUGUAGCGGUGAAAUGCGUAGAUAUCUGGAGGAACACCCGUGGCGAAGGCGGCUUCCUGGUCAUAUCCUGACGCUGAGGUGCGAAAGCUAGGGGAGCGAACGGGAUUAGAUACCCCGGUAGUCCUAGCCGUAAACGAUGGAUACUAGGUGUUAGAGGUAUCGACCCCUCUAGUGCCGAAGCUAACGCAUUAAGUAUCCCGCCUGGGGAGUACGACCGCAAGGUUGAAACUCAAAGGAAUUGACGGGGGCCCGCACAAGCGGUGGAGCAUGUGGUUUAAUACGUCAUUAACCGUAGAACCUUACCCAGGUUUGACAUCUGGGGAAUCCUGGUGAAAGCCGGGAGUGCUUAGUAAUAAGAACCCCAAGACAGGUGUUGCAUGGCUGUCGUCAGCUCGUGUCGUGAGAUGUUGGGUUAAGUCCCGCAACGAGCGCAACCCUCAUCCGAUGUUGCCAGCGUUAAGUCGGGAACUCUUCGGAAACUGCCCGUGUAAGCGGGAGGAAGGUGGGGAUGACGUCAAGUCAGCAUGGCCCUUACGCCUGGGGCUACACACAUGUUACAAUGGAUGUGAACAAAGGGCAGCAAUACCGCGAGGUGGAGCUAAUCUCAAAAAUACAUCCUCAGUUCGGAUUGCAGUUUGCAACUUGACUGCAUGAAGUUGGAAUCGCUAGUAACCGCAGGUCAGGUAAACUGCGGUGAAUACGUUCCCGGGCCUUGUACACACCGCCCGU
rnacentral:rRNA from 1 species